rnacentral:lncRNA from 1 species
AUGGGGUCUGUGAUGGGCUAGGCCUGUCAACUAGGACAUGGCGGGCGCGUCCAGGCGUGGCCAGACUACCGCAUAUCUGUCCUAGAUUUGGGUUAUAUAUGAGGGGACCCGGACAGCCCGGAUGUUUCAGGUUGAUUUGAGAUAUUCAGGUGGGUCGAUUAUUUGUGACCGAUCAGCCUGCCCGCAUGUGUAAGAUGGGUUUGGUUGGUCGAUAUAGAUGCUCUAAAAUUGCUUUAU